rnacentral:rRNA from 1 species
AUAUGUGAUCGUCUCUCGCAUAUCAAUAAGCGGAGGAAAAGAAACUAACAAGGAUUCCCCUAGUAACGGCGAGUGAAGCGGGAAGAGCUCAAAUUUGAAAUCUUAAAGGGUUUCCCUUUACGAAUUGUAGUUUAAAGAAGUGUUUUCUGUUGAGGUUUUGGUAAAAGUUCUUUGGAAUAGGACAUCAUAGAGGGUGAGAAUCCCGUAUUUGACCUUUACUUUCAACUUUGUGAUACACUUUCAAAGGGUCGGAUUGUUUGGGAAUGCAGUCCAAAAUGGGUGGUAAAUUUCAUCUAAAGCUAAAUAUUGGCGAGAGACCGAUAGCGAACAAGUACCGUGAGGGAAAGAUGAAAAGAACUUUGAAAAGAGAGUUAAACAGUACGUGAAAUUGUCAAAAGGGAAGCGUUUGACACCAGUGUUGUUUUUCUGAAAAUCAAUUAAAGAACUGUUUAUGCUAAGUUGUUUAGACUUUAUCAGCUAUCUGCUUAGUUUUGAGCUUUUCUUUAAUGCACUUUUCAGUUAACAAGUCAACAUCAAUUUCUUUUGCUGUAAAAAAGCUUGAGGAAGGUGGCUUGAGAUUCGUCUUAAGUGUUUAUAGCCUCUUGCCUAUGCAGUCGGAGAGAUUGAGGUCUGCAGCGUAGAUCCUUCGGGGCUAAAUGCAUUUGUGCUAAGUUAUAGCAUUUUAUAGACAACUUGUUGACUAUGAUUUGUCUUGUAGCUUACUCGCUUAUGUUAUUUUACCUACGCUUAGGAUGUUGAAGAUAUGCGCGACACG